GGAGUCGGCCGGGCGGCGGCCUUGGCCCUUCGGGGCAGGGGAGGAAAGUCCGGACUUCAUAGGGCACGGUGCCCCGCGCAAGCGGGGGCGGGGCGACCCGACGGAAAGUGCAACAGAAAGCAGACCGCCUCAGCUCGCUGGGGCAAGGGUGAAACGGUGCGGUAAGAGCGCACCAGCGGCUCGGGCGACCGGGUCGGCUUGGCAAACCCCACCGGAAGCAAGGCCUAAUAGGGAGGGGGUGACGUGGCCCGCAGACCCUCCGGGUUGGCCGCAUCAGUCAAAUCGUCGCACAAAGACAGAAUCCGGCUUACAGGCCGGCUCCCUCA
rnacentral:RNase_P_RNA from 1 species